rnacentral:rRNA from 1 species
CAGACGCUGGCGGCUGCUUCAUACUGCAAGUCGAACGUGAAAGACUUCGGGUCGAGUAAAGUGGCGCACGGGUGAGUAACGCGUAGAUAAUCUGCCCCGCUGUCUGGGAUAACCUUUCGAAUGGGAGGCUAAUACCGGAUAACACGAUUUCUUUUAAGGGAGUCGUUGAAAGUUGCGGCGCGACGGGAUGAGUCUGCGUCCCAUUAGCUAGUUGGUGGGGUAAAGGCCUACCAAGGCGACGAUGGGUAGCGGGUUUGAGAGGACGAUCCGCCACACUGGAACUGAGACACGGUCCAGACUCCUACGGGAGGCAGCAGUAGGGAAUUUUGCGCAAUGGGCGAAAGCCUGACGCAGCAAUGCCGCGUGAGUGAAGAAGGCCUUCGGGUCGUAAAGCUCUUUAUCUUCGGGAAGAUGAUGACGGUACCGAAGGAAGAAGCACCGGCUAACUACGUGCCAGCAGCCGCGGUAAUACGUAGGGUGCAAGCGUUGUUCGGAAUCACUGGGCGUAAAGGGCGUGUAGGCGGAACGAUUAGCGAGGGGUGAAAUCCCGGGGCUCAACCCCGGAACUGCUCUUCGAACUGUCGAUCUAGAGAAGGUCAGGGGCCGGCGGAAUUCCUGGGUUGUUAGAAGGGUGAAAAUUUCGUAAGAAGAAUCAAGGGAGGGAACCAUCGGGAGGGCGAAAGGGCCGGGCCGGGCUGGGGGCCAUUCUUGAACGCCUGAAGGCGGCGAAAAGCGUUGGGGAGCACAACCGGAUUAAUUACCCCUGGGGUAAGUUACCAACGGCCCGUUAAACCGAGGGGUACCAAGGGUCCGGGGAUGGUCGACCAUUCCGGGUACCGCCAGUAAGCAGAAAGGUCCCGGCCGGGGAAAUACGGCCCAACAU